AUGAUAUCCUCAGAUUACAUAAAAAUGCUUGAAGUUAAUUGUAUGGUAAAUGUUCAUUAAGUAUUAAAAAACGUUUUUUUAUGAUAAAUGUUCUAUUCAGUUUUAGUUCUGGUAAGUUGUUUUUAGCUCUGUUAAGUUGUCAAAAGCUGUGAAAAUAAAAUAGUGAAUUGAGUUUAAAUUAACCAGAAAAGAUAUAAACAUAAUCUCUGGGAUUCAACUUGUAAGGAUGUUCCAAGAACCACUUAGUUGGAGAAGGAAAACUGUGCUGUUUAUUAACAAGUCCGGUGCUUUAUAAUAUAUUUAAAGGUGGUAAGGACGUGAAGAAAACAGGUUUGUAAAUGAUGUUGUACAUCAUGCAGAUAGCUCAGAAGAAGAAGCAGGAAUGUUUGACUGGAAAUAUAAACGAUGUUGUACUUAAUGCAGAUAGCUUAGGCGAAAAAGAGAUUGGUGAAAUGGAGAAUGAGACUAACUACGGUGAAAAAAUAAUGAAUAUCAAAAUGUGAAUGGUACUUUGUUUGACAUCUAUCUGUUUCUACAGACACAAUGCAGUCGCACUUAUAAAUGGGGUUGAUGUUUUUUUGGAUUGAAUAUGUUGUAUUGAUGGUUCUUUUUAACUUGUUAAAACUUUAAGUUAUUAUCAAAUUUAUAUAUACUAUUUUUAUCAAAUAGUUAAUAUAAAAUAAUAAACAUGUAAAUUGUUUUAUUUCCUUUAAAAAAAAUUUUCUUGAU